rnacentral:tRNA from 1 species
GUCUUUGUGGUGUAACGAACACACUAGAUUUUCGAUCUAGAAUUGAGCUUUGGGCUUCAAAGAUU